rnacentral:rRNA from 1 species
GAUGAACGCUGGCGGCGUGCCUAAUACAUGCAAGUCGAGCGAACAGACGAUGAGCUUGCUCCUUUGACGUUAGCGGCGGACGGGUGAGUAACACGUGGAUAACCUACCUAUAAGACUGGGAUAACUUCGGGAAACCGGAGCUAAUACCGGCUAAUAUGUUCAACCGCAGGGUUCAACAGUGAAUGAGACCUUUCCCGACACUAUUAGCUGGGGCCGCAUUAGCUAGUCGGUUAGGUAACGGCCCACCAAGGCAACGAUGCGUAGCUGAUCUGAGAGGGUGAUCGGCCACACUGGAACUGAGACACGGUCCAGACUCCUACGGGAGGCAGCAGUAGGGAAUCUUCCGCAAUGGGCGAAAGCCUGACGGAGCAACGCCGCGUGAGUGAAGAAGGUCUUCGGAUCGUAAAACUCUGUUAUUAGGGAAGAACAAAUGUGUAAGUAAAUAUGCACGUUUUGACGGUACCUAAACAGAAAGCCCCGGCUAACUACGUG